rnacentral:rRNA from 1 species
AACGUAGGUGGCGAGCGUUAUCCGGAAUUACUGGGCGUAAAGGGCGCGUAGGCGGCCCACUAAGUCAGACGUGAAAUCCCCCGGCUUAACCUGGGAACUGCGUCUGAUACUGGAGGGCUUGAGUAUGGGAGAGGGAUGUAGAAUUCCAGGUGUAGCGGUGAAAUGCGUAGAUAUCUGGAGGAAUACCGGUGGCGAAGGCGGCAUCCUGGACCAUUACUGACGCUGAGGAGCGAAAGCCAGGGGAGCAAACGGG